CAGAGAAAUACAGCUACUAAUCAAACAAGCUUUUCCAGUACUGGCAGCAUCAGGAAUUGUGUGUCGGAGGCCAUUUGGCCCAUCGCUCAGAAGAAUCCUAGCUACAGUUAGAGAUGGGUUGGCAGGUUGAAGCCACGUUCUGUGAUCACUGAGAUGAAAGGUAAGGGAGUACGCAAGAGACAUGAAAGGCGGAGGGAAGGCUUU